rnacentral:rRNA from 1 species
GAUGAACGCUGGCGGCGUGCCUAAUACAUGCAAGUCGAGCGAACAGACGAGGAGCUUGCUCCUCUGACGUUAGCGGCGGACGGGUGAGUAACACGUGGAUAACCUACCUAUAAGGCUGGGAUAACUUCGGGAAACCGGAGCUAAUACCGGAUAAUAUAUUGAACCGCAUGGUUCAAUAGUGAAAGACGGUUUUGCUGUCACUUAUAGAUGGAUCCGCGCCGCAUUAGCUAGUUGGUAAGGUAACGGCUUACCAAGGCAACGAUGCGUAGCCGACCUGAGAGGGUGAUCGGCCAUAUUGGAACUGAGACACGGUCAAGACUCCUAAGGGAGGCAGCAGUAGGGAAUCUUCCGCAAUGGGCGAAAGCUUGACGGAGCAACGCCGCGUGAGUGAUGAAGGUCUUCGGAUCGUAAAACUCUGUUAUUAGGGAAGAACAAAUGUGUAAGUAACUAUGCACGGCUUGACGGUACCUAAUCAGAAAGCCACGGCUAACUACGUG